GUAUGGUUACAAGUGUUAAUAAGCAUUUUCUUGGGAAUGAAAAUGGCUUCUUAAAUGACACGGACAGCCCUCAAAAUGAGCUAGCCAAGAAAGAACACUUACCUGCCAGUACAUCACAAAAAUUGGUGUUUGGACGGACAAACUAUAGUAUUCCAGGAAAAAAACAUCUUCUGUGAUGCCAAAUAAGGGAGAGUAUUGUUUUCAGGUUGAAUUAGCUGGAAAUAUUUUGGGAAAGGGAGUUGGUUUAAGCAAAGAGGAGGCUAAGCUUCAGGCUGCAGAGGAGGCACUCCUUACUCUUAAGAACAGACUUGAAUCGACAAGCAAAGAGACGUUAAAGAUCAUCAAGGCCUAAUGACUAAAAAAUGCUCCAUUGAUGGAACUGAUGCGAGUUUACAAAGUAUCCUCUAGAAUACCAUUGUGCAUAGACGUUCAGAUGGUCAGGAACGAGGUGCAAGUUCUUAUAGUCAGACGGUUCUUAUCCCUUGAGCCCUCAUGGAAUUUCUGUUGACUUCCUCAUGCAUUAUGCUUGUCGCAUUGACAUCUAUUCAUAUUCAACAGGAAGUUCUUUUAUCUUACUUGAUUGCUGAUCGGUCUAGAGUUCUUAGAGCUGUGAGCACAGUCAAAUUUUGGUAGAACUCCCUCACAAGAUUCUCUGAACUUCCUGUAUCAACCAUAUACGAUGGUCUGUAUAGAGAGGCUAUGUAUUUGAACAUGGCAGGCAAGAAAAAAACACUUGAAUUAGAUCAGAAUUUUCACUUGACUGGAAGGUUUUUCUAUUCUUGGUGCAGGAGAAACCUCAGUCUGUGUAUUGGAGAUUUUGACAAGAUUCUAUGGACCGGUGAUGCUCUGAGCAUUCCAGCACAUUUGGAAUCCAGCAUGCUGCUUGAUUUGCUGAAAGCACCGUAUCCCUCCCCGCCUUUUGUGGUGCAAGUAGGACAUGAUGCAGGUAACAUGCUUUCUGAGGAUGAAGCACACCAUCAUAUCCGAGCAGCCUUUUCCUCCAUUUCCUUUCCUUCGAUGCUCCUAACCAGGUAUGAUCCUGACGCUAUCUUGUUUUCGUUUGAGCCGUGGCUUUAAUAGUAAUCCCAAACUAUUUCUACCCUCCAUUGUCUGAUGUAUCACAAAGAUUUGAACUGUUAAUGGUUUUAGCCCACCACCGAUUGGAGCAGAGAAGGAAUCAUCAUGGGAGGAGGAUGACAGCUCUACAUUUAUGUGGCUCGUAUUCAGAAAGAAAUGGAUAUAUAUAUAUAUAUAUAUAUAUUCCUG